rnacentral:rRNA from 1 species
GUGGGGAAUAUUGGACAAUGGGGGGAACCCUGAUCCAGCCAUGCCGCGUGUGUGAAGAAGGCCUUUUGGUUGUAAAGCACUUUAAGCGAGGAGGAGGCUACCGAGAUUAAUACUCUUGGAUAGUGGACGUUACUCGCAGAAUAAGCACCGGCUAACUCUGUGCCAGCAGCCGCGGUAAUACAGAGGGUGCAAGCGUUAAUCGGAUUUACUGGGCGUAAAGCGCGCGUAGGUGGCCAAUUAAGUCAAAUGUGAAAUCCCCGAGCUUAACUUGGGAAUUGCAUUCGAGACUGGUUGGCUAGAGUAUGGGAGAGGAUGGUAGAAUUCCAGGUGUAGCGGUGAAAUGCGUAGAGAUCUGGAGGAAUACCGAUGGCGAAGGCAGCCAUCUGGCCUAAUACUGACACUGAGGUGCGAAAGCAUGGGGAGCAAACAGGAUUAGAUACCCUGGUAGUCC